rnacentral:lncRNA from 1 species
UGCACUUUUAGGUAACUUUAAAUAUUUGCUUCAAGUCUAAAAUCCAGACCAGAUCCAAUCCAUCACUUGAUGGUGUAAUGUUGAAACAAUCCAAAUUUUUAAGCUAGAUUCAAGUUUUUGAACUAAUUACGAUCGGUCAGAAUGAAUUCUAUUGAGUUUCAUUGGGUCCUCAUUAACUCAAAUAUAAGCCAUAUUUGGUUGCCACCAGAUCUAGGCCGAUGUGACUGCACCUCUACCACCUAAAAUGUUAUCUCAUUAAACGUUUAACCUGCUUUCUCUCAUUUCUAAGGGCUUGUUUCAAUGAUUAGACUAAAUAUCCCAUUAGAUUUGUGGCUUGGGUCAAUAAUAUCAGCUAAAUAAUAGAAAUAUUGAUCUUUUAUUUCUUUAUACGGUAUUCAGGCCAACCCACUUUCAAACCACUCCUAAGUACUUAUAAAUAUAUGGUAUUCAGGCUAACUCA